rnacentral:rRNA from 1 species
GAUGAACGCUGGCGGCGUGCCUAAUACAUGCAAGUCGAGCGAACGGACGAGAAGCUUGCUUUUCUGAUGUUAGCGGCGGACGGGUGAGUAACACGUGGAUAACCUACCUAUAAGACUGGGAUAACUUCGGGAAACCGGAGCUAAUACCGGAUAAUAUUUUGAACCGCAUGGUUCAAAAGUGAAAGACGGUCUUGCUGUCACUUAUAGAUGGAUCCGCGCUGCAUUAGCUAGUUGGUAAGGUAACGGCUUACCAAGGCAACGAUGCAUAGCCGACCUGAGAGGGUGAUCGGCCACACUGGAACUGAGACACGGUCCAGACUCCUACGGGAGGCAGCAGUAGGGAAUCUUCCGCAAUGGGCGAAAGCCUGACGGAGCAACGCCGCGUGAGUGAUGAAGGUCUUCGGAGCGUAAAACUCUGUUAUUAGGGAAGAACAUAUGUGUAAGUAACUGUGCACAUCUUGACGGUACCUAAUCAGAAAGCCACGGCUAACUACGUG